CCCAAAAGCAAAAGAGGGUGUCCCCCCCCCUCAUGAUUUUCCUAUGAGAAGUCAUCCACAUCUCUCAUUUGAAUCAAGGUAAUCAGUGCUUUUCUAACCCUCUGGAUCAUCUUAACUUAUGAAGAGCUGGAGAAAACACUUUAUGAGCUUAUCUAUGUGGAUAAUAGGAAUGAAUCACAGGUUAUGGAUAUCUCUUGGCAAAUUAUAUUCCAGAGUAAUUUGGCAGAACGUUGCAUUUUUCCUCUCCCAGAAUAAUUGUAGAUACUUGCUCAUUCACCAAAAGAUAAAAUGAGAUGAGACACAAGCCACAUAUUCAGAGAAGACAUUGCUGACUGGCUUGCAUCCACUGUGGGGCUUCCAUGAUGAUGAUGAUGAUGAUGAUGAUGAUGAUGAUGAUGAUGAUGAUGAUGAUGAUGAUGAUGAUGAUGAUGAUACCACCCAUACCGCUUUUUCUAAUUCAAAGAAACUCCCCACAAAUCUAAUUUUCCUAUAUUUUGAGAUAGGAAGAGCAAGGAAAAUUAGAAACACAGAGCAAAAAGGAGAGUUAAAAAGAAGCCAGUGGUUUCUUCAUCCUUUUGCAUGUGAUAUCUGUCCUCUUGAGGGCAGGUUGCUCUUGCCAGCCUCCCUCUAUAUCAUUCCCAGAUACCACCCACUCAUCAUAAACAUGCACAUACAUACACUCUCACACACACACUUUUAACUCUUACAUUGUUAACACUGUUUUGUCUACAAGCUGUAUACUGUUAAAACUGGUGAGCUUCCUAAAAGUAUUCAAAUUGUUUUCAAUUGUAAAACAUGUAACUUUUGUAAAUGACAUGUAUCUGCUUCUUACAGUAUAAGAAACGUUAGAGUGAGAAAUAUAAAAUACCAUUGAUGGAAAUCCUUUCUGGACAGGACCACUAUGUGGAUAUCCAGAAACCUUGCCAAUUUGUUUCCCAAGACAAUGGGUUACCAUGAUCUCUCACCAUGAGCAUUCCAUCUUGACUAAUUCGGUUGAUUUCCAUCUGAUGAACAGCAGUUGAGAACUAGGCUACAAGCCAAGCAUUGGAGAAAGGGGUUCUAGACUGUGGGAUCCAAGAAACUUUACAACAAAUUAGACAAUAUAUUAUCAUAUUAAAGUUAAACAAUCAAUUAAAUAAACAAUUAAAUUAAAACUAAUGAAACUUGAACUAUUUGCAGUAUACCUCUGCUAUCCUAGGCAUACGUAUCUUGUAGUAAAUAUAAAUAAACAUAAUGGAAUUUCUGGGUAAUUGGGAAAAGUCUGCAUAGUAAAUUAGUAUUUACUAAUUUACUAUGCAGACCUUUCCCAAUUACUCAGAAAUUCCAUUGCGUUUAAUUAUAUUUACUACAAGAUAAGUAUGCCUAGGGUAGCAGAAUUACACUGUAAUCCUAAAACCAUGGGAAGGAAAUAGCCUCUGUACAAAAUCAUGAUAGUGAUUAAUUAAAUUAAGAAUGUCCAGAUGAGGGUGACUAAAAUGAUCAAAAUUCUGGAAACCAUGCCCUGUAAGGAGUGACUUAAAGAGCUGAGCAUGUUUAGCCCGCUGAAGAGAAGAUUGAGAGGAAACAUGAUAGUCAUGAAUGUUUCAGUUUUUGAAAGGAUGCCUUAAGGAAACAGACGCAGGCUUGUUUUCUGCUGCCCUGGAGACUAGGAUUCAGAGCAAUGGGUUAAAAUUGCAGGAAAGGAGAUUCCUCUUAAACUUUCCUAAACUUAGGAAUAACUUUCUGACCCUAAGAGCUGUUCAACAGUGGAAUUCACAGUCUCAGAGUGUGAUGGAAGCUUCUUCUUUGGAGGCUUUUAGACAAAGGCUGGGUGAUGGGGGUGCUUUGAUUGUGCUUUUCCUGCAAGGCAGGAUAGCCUGUGUCGUAUCUUCCCACUCUAUGAUUCUGUGAUUCUAUGAAAAUAUUUAAUACAUGUACUUGCAAAAAUGGAGGUUGACCAGUACAAUCUCAAAUAGAACAGUAUUAUAAAAAUAUAAUGAUAGAACUAUAAUGCUUACAAAAAUGCUUUCGUUUUCUUUCUGUUCUAUGUGUCAGGUUUUCAUACUUACUCUCAAUUAAAAUUCAUAAGAUUAAUUGACUAGGGACAAAUUGAAAUAUGUAGCAGAAGAAAAUAGUUAAAUACUGACGUUAGACAGCUGAUUAUGAUUUCAGACUACAAGUUGGGGAUUCCAUUUUUGAAUAAUAUACCCUUGACAAAACCCAUUCAUUGUAGAAAACUAGUCCAGGAGGGAGCUUUUAUGGCAGGGAAAUAUUCAAAGGUAUGAAGAUUCCUCCCAUUGUGUUCUGAAGUGGUACAUUCCAUUCUUCCAUUGAAUUUUGCUGCAUUGCUACUUCAGUCUUAACACUUUAUUUAAAUAGAUAACACACUUAUUGAAAUCACCAUGGAUGAUUUUUUUGUCUACCCUCUAUAGUUUUGCUUCUUCAAAUAGUACUGAAUAACAUUGACAGUUACUGAAGAUUUUUUUUGCUGAAAAUCAUGAGCAGGAUUCAAGCUAAAAAAGAUCCAAGGACAUGUUUAUUAUCCAGGUAUGCCUGGAGUUGCUAAGCAACUGUAUGUUCAAUUACAUUGCUUAGAAACAGAAAAUCUGAUGGCAACUGUGAUUUACUGGGUCAUCGGCACUCAAAAAUCCCCUGGGGAGUCAAUGGAUAAUUGCAUCCUUAAGAGAUAUAUAGACAUUUUCUCCCCUAAAAUUUUGUAGAGCAUGUAAAUUAUACAGAAUAAUAACUAAGAAUAGUAUUGAAUUUGAAAAUUUAUUCCUGCAUAUUGUUAACCUUGUAAGACAAAGUUUCAUGAAGCAUAUGAUUAGAAAUAUUUUCACAAACACAGUGUCAACAUUUGAUGAAGAAACAAAGUGGAAACGUUUCAAGACAGUGUGACAAGAUGACACAAAUAUGUCCCCAGUUCAGACAAUGUAAUUCAUUUGAAAAUGACAGACUGAAUGCAAGCAAUGUUAUUUUUUCCAGGCUUCACAAAUAUUAACUUUUCUGUAUAAGGUAAAGUUAGACUACAUGAAUUUAAAAAUUCAUGGCCUUUGUGGUCUCUUCCAAAUCUGCAAUUCUGUGAUUCUAUACAAAUGCACCUAGUGGCCAUUGUUGUGAUACAGGUGCCAUUCCUCUUUCCUUCUAAGCCCUUAUGUGUCAAAUUCAGCCCACCAGGUUAUUUUAUGUGGUCCUCCAGAUGUUGGAGAGGUUGCAGUUUGUUCUGCUUAGUUAGGAUAGUGUCAUUUGAAUUUAGAUACAAGGAUUGUGGAUAUGAUGUCUGACUUUAAAAUGUCCUUUAAUCUUCCCCCAACCUCAGAGUCAGAAGUGCUGUUGGGUUGCAAUUCCCGUUAUCCCCAGUAUGGUGGAUACUCAAAAGUGAUAGGAGUCAAGUAGGGUAAAAACUAAAAGGCACCAGUGUAAAGAAGUGUAUGAUUUUAUUUUGUUUAAUGAUGACAUGUUUAUUUGAUUUGUUUAAACAGUCAGGUUUAGUUAAUUUAAAAUGGUGAGUAUUAGAGCUGUUAAUACCAGCAUUGAAGAACCGGUUGCUAUGACAACGGGGGCGGAGCCAACCGCCAUUUGGAAAGGAAAAGGGGAAUGUUUUAAAACCCAGUUUCAGUCUGUGAUUUUUAGUCGCAGGAAGAAGACUGAUUCUCAUGUGGAGGAUCAGGGUGACUCAAAUAAAAGAAUUUGAGUCAGUCUGUGAUUUUAAAUCACAGGGAGCAGUCUGGUUUCAAGACUGAAGGGAACCAGAAGGACAGACCUCUAUUAGGCCAGACUAAGCAAGUUAGGGGACUUGUUUAGGGUCAUUUACAGAGGCUGUGGAUUAGGGAAAGUUAAUCCCAGUAGAUCCAGGAGGAUCAGGUUUUAGUUUAGCUGAGAGGAAGAAAUAUUUUGAAAGUUUGAACACCUCAUAUCUGUUUGUAACCAUUAAGCUAAGUGCCUUUAAAAAGUUAUAAGAAACCAUCAAGCUCUGUACAAGCAAUAAACUUGUUUUGAUUUAAUUCCA